rnacentral:lncRNA from 1 species
UCCACCCUCACAGGCACAUGAGACUGCAGAGCUUCAAAAUAAGAAGUAAAUCAGCUGGACAGUUGCCUCCUGCCUUCCUAAACAGGCAAACAUAUUAGAAACAGAAAAAGGGACCUACCUACCUCAUUCCUGGAGAAGGUGGGUUUGCUGGUGUGAAUGCCUGCCUCGUUUGCCUCACCAAAAUGAGUUAGAGCAUGCAGGAGAGAAGGAAGACGUUUGCAAGUAGAACCUACCAUGAUUUCUCAGGGGACAAAAUUUUGCAUAUUCAUACCUUCUACUGUGGCAAAAAUGGAUUCUUUUCCUCACCAAAAACCAGCAGCAUAACACCCAUCCAGCACCUGCCUCAAGGAACUCUCAUUUAA